GGGGAGUACGGCCGCAAGGUUAAAACUCAAAUGAAUUGACGGGGGCCCGCACAAGCGGUGGAGCAUGUGGUUUAAUUCGAUGCAACGCGAAGAACCUUACCUACUCUUGACAUCCAGAGAAUUUGCUAGAGAUAGCUUAGUGCCUUCGGGAACUCUGAGACAGGUGCUGCAUGGCUGUCGUCAGCUCGUGUUGUGAAAUGUUGGGUUAAGUCCCGCAACGAGCGCAACCCUUAUCCUUUGUUGCCAGCGAUUCGGUCGGG
rnacentral:rRNA from 1 species